rnacentral:lncRNA from 10 species
GCAGAACCGUGGUGAUGAGCUGAUGUAGGAUGUGGAGCAGAACCGUGGUGAUGAGCAGAUGUAGGAGGUGGAGCAGAACCGUGGUGAUUCAUAAGCAGAUGUAUUAGGUGUUGCUGUUGCUGGGGCUGUGGCAGGAAGUGGUUGAUCACAUUCCUAUUCUCCAGUUGGGUAAUGAGCUCAUGGUUGAAUCGUGAAUGGGUAAAUGAAUGGGUGGAUGGAAAUAAUUAUGGUUCACCUAAUUUUAUGCCCCUAAGGUCCUUGCAAAAGAAAACGGAGGGAGGAGAGAGAGGAGAAAGGGGAAGAAGUCGCAUUCAAAUUCACUCUCGCCAGUCUCUAAAAUGGCAGAUUCGUUUUGAAACAACUCCAGAUUAAGCCUACAGAGGGAAGGCAUGGCUGAUUCUGCUGAGCACCUAUUACAGCUUCAGCAGCAUACCUCGUUUCGGUCCACAACAGCUGUGUAAGAUUGUGACGGAGCUGGAAAGUUCCUGUUGCCUAGUGAGGUCAUGUCCUAGCGCAGAACGCAGAAUCACGAAGAGUGACGAAUGCCCGCCGUCAACUGCUGGCCGGGCU